UACGUAGGGGGCAAGCGUUGUCCGGAUUUAUUGGGCGUAAAGAGCGUGUAGGCGGCCUGAAAGGUCAGCUGUGAAAACUCGGGGCUCAACCCCGAGACGUCGGUUGAAACCAUCUGGCUAGAGUCCGGAAGAGGAGUGUGGAAUUCCCGGUGUAGCGGUGAAAUGCGCAGAUAUCGGGAAGAACACCCGUGGCGAAGGCGGCACUCUGGGACGGAACUGACGCUGAGACGCGAAAGCGUGGGGAGCGAACAGG
rnacentral:rRNA from 1 species